CGGGGGGGUAAGCGUUGUUCGGAAUUACUGGGCGUAAAGGGCUCGUAGGCGGCCAAUUAAGUCACACGUGAAAUCCCUCAGCUUAACUGGGGAACUGCGUGUGAUACUGGAUGGCUUGGAUUUGGGAGAGGGAUGCGGAAUUCCAGGUGUAGCGGUGAAAUGCGUAGAUAUCUGGAGGAACACCGGUGGCGAAGGCGGCAUCCUGGACCAAUAUUGACGCUGAGGAGCGAAAGCCAGGGGAGCAAACGGGAUUAGAUACCCCGGUAGUCCUGGCCCUAAACGAUGAAUGCUUGGUGUAGCGGGUAUCGAUCCCUGCUGUGCCGAAGCUAACGCAUUAAGCAUUCCGCCUGGGGAGUACGGUCGCAAGGCUG
rnacentral:rRNA from 1 species